rnacentral:rRNA from 1 species
GUGCCAGCAGCCGCGGUAAGACGUAGGGGGCUAGCGUUGUCCGGAUUUACUGGGCGUAAAGCGCGUGCAGGCGGUUCGUUAAGUCCCGUGUUAAAGCCUCCGGCUCAACCGGAGAACGCCGCGGGAUACUGGCGAGCUUGAGGGCGGUAGAGGGUGAUGGAAUUCCCGGUGUAGCGGUGAAAUGCGUAGAUAUCGGGAGGAACGCCAGUGGCGAAGGCGGUCACCUGGGCCGUCCCUGACGCUGAGACGCGAAAGCUGGGGGAGCGAACGGGAUUAGAUACCCCGGUAGUCCCAGCUGUAAACGAUGCUCACUAGGUGUUGGGGGGUUACUCCCUCAGUGCCGCAGCUAACGCAUUAAGUGAGCCGCCUGGGGAGUACGGCCGCAAGGUUGAA